AGUACAGACGAGUUUGAUCCUGGCUCAGAACGAACGCUGGCGGCAUGCUUAACACAUGCAAGUCGAACGGGGUAUAGGUGCUUGCACUUAUACUUAGGUGGCAGACGGGUGAGUAACGCGUGGGAACGUACCCCUUGGAUCAGGAUAACGGCUGGAAACGGUCGCUAAUACUGGAUACGUCCGAAAGGAGAAAGAUAUAUUGCCGAGGGAGCGGCCCGCGUUGGAUUAGGUAGUUGGUGAGGUAAAAGCUCACCAAGCCUGUGAUCCAUAGCUGGUUUGAGAGGAUGAUCAGCCACACUGGGACUGAGACACCGGCCCAGACUCCUACGGGAGGCAGCAGGUGGGGAAUAUUGGACAAUGGGGGCAACCCUGAUCCAGCAAUGCCGCGUGAGUGAUGAAGGCCUUCGGGUUGUAAAGCUCUUUUGUCGGGGACGAUGAUGACGGUACCCGACGAAUAAGCUCCGGCUAACUUCGUG
rnacentral:rRNA from 1 species